AACUCUGUCCUAAAUCUCUCUACAUUUUUUUGAUUUUUUUUUCGUUUUA
rnacentral:sRNA from 1 species